rnacentral:rRNA from 1 species
GAGCACGUAGGUGGGUUUGUAAGUCAGAUGUGAAAGCCUUCUGUUCAAAGGAAGAACGGCAUCUGAAACUGCAGAUCUUGAGUGUAGGAGGGGAGAGUGGAACUUCUGGUGGAGCGGUGAAAUGCGUAGAUAUCAGAAGGAACGUCGGCGGCGAAAGCGACUCUCUGGCCUAUUACUGACACUGAGUGUGCGAAAGUUGGGGGAGCAAACGGGUUUAGAUACCCCGGUAGUCCUAACUGUAAACGAUGGGCACUAAGUAGAGGAGUC